rfam:Mesocricetus auratus contig188901, whole genome shotgun sequence.
GUAUCGUGGGCAGCACAUAUACUAAAUCUGGAACGAUACAGAGAAGAUUAGCAUGGCCCCUAUGCAAGACGCCACUACACUUGGGUCACCUCGAACCUUGUAUU